GCGGUAAUACGGAGGGUGCAAGCGUUAAUCGGAAUUACUGGGCGUAAAGCGCACGCAGGCGGUCUGUUAAGUCAGAUGUGAAAUCCCCGGGCUUAACCUGGGAACUGCAUUUGAAACUGGCAGGCUUGAGUCUCGUAGAGGGGGGUAGAAUUCCAGGUGUAGCGGUGAAAUGCGUAGAGAUCUGGAGGAAUACCGGUGGCGAAGGCGGCCCCCUGGACGAAGACUGACGCUCAGGUGCGAAAGCGUGGGGAGCGAACAGGAUUAGAUACCCUGGUAGUCCACGCCGUAAACGAUGUCGACUUGGAGGUUGUUCCCUUGAGGAGUGGCUUCCGGAGCUAACGCGUUAAGUCGACCGCCUGGGGAGUACGGCCGCAAGGUUAAAACUCAAAUGAAUUGACGGGGGCCCGCACAAGCGGUGGAGCAUGUGGUUUAAUUCGAUGCAACGCGAAGAACCUUACCUACUCUUGACAUCCAGCGAACUUGGCAGAGAUGCCCUGGUGCCUUCGGGAACGCUGAGACAGGUGCUGCAUGGCUGUCGUCAGCUCGUGUUGUGAAAUGUUGGGUUAAGUCCCGCAACGAGCGCAACCCUUAUCCUUUGUUGCCAGCGAUUCGGUCGGGAACUCAAAGGA
rnacentral:rRNA from 1 species